GUAGGUGGCAAGCGUUGUCCGGAAUUAUUGGGCGUAAAGCGCGCGCAGGCGGUUUCUUUAAGUCUGAUGUGAAAGCCCACGGCUCAACCGUGGAGGGUCAUUGGAAACUGGAGAACUUGAGUACAGAAGAGGAAAGCGGAAUUCCACGUGUAGCGGUGAAAUGCGUAGAGAUGUGGAGGAACACCAGUGGCGAAGGCGGCUUUCUGGUCUGUAACUGACGCUGAGGCGCGAAAGCGUGGGGAGCAAACAGGAUUAGAUACCCUGGUAGUCCACGCCGUAAACGAUGAGUGCUAAGUGUUAGGGGGUUUCCGCCCCCCUUAGUGCUGCAGCUAACGCAUUAAGCACUCCGCCUGGGAGUACGGCCGCAAGGCUG
rnacentral:rRNA from 1 species